rnacentral:rRNA from 1 species
UACGUAGGGGGCAAGCGUUGUCCGGAAUCAUUGGGCGUAAAGAGCGCGUAGGCGGUCCGGUAAGUCCGCUCUGAAAGCCCGGGGCUCAACCCCGGGAGGCGGGCGGAUACUGUCGGGCUAGAGUCCGGAAGAGGCGAGUGGAAUUCCUGGUGUAGCGGUGAAAUGCGCAGAUAUCAGGAGGAACACCAAUAGCGAAGGCAGCUCGCUGGGACGUUACUGACGCUGAGGCGCGAAAGCGUGGGGAGCGAACAGG